UUAAAAAGCUCGUAGUUGGAUUUCUGUUGAGGACGGCCGGUCCGCACUAUGUGCGUGUAUCUGGUUCGGCCUUGGCAUCCUCUUGAGGAACGUUCCUGCGCUUGAUUGCGUGGGGCGGUAUUCAAGACUUUUACUUUGAGGAAAUUAGAGUGUUCACGGCAGGCAAACGCCUUGAAUACAUUAGCAUGGAAUAAUAAUAUAGGACCUUGGUCCCAUUUUGUUGGUUUCUGGAACUGAGGUAAUGAUUAAUAGGGAUAAUUGGGGGCAUUCGUAUUAACGUGUCAGAGGUGGAAUUCUUGGAUUACGUUACGACGAACUACUGCGAAAGCAUUUGCCAAGGAUGUUUUCAUUGAUCAAGAACGAAAGUUCGGGGAUCGAAGAUGAUUAGAUACCAUCGUAGUCCGAACCAUAAACUAUGCCAACU
rnacentral:rRNA from 1 species